GUCUGCGGCACCAUCCUUGGAUACAAUAAGUCAAUUCAUUAAUGAUAAUUAGGUGGCGUGGUCAACAUCCCUGCCACAUCGUUCACAUAUGGCUUAUUGCGUGCUACACUGGUCCAACAAGUAGUGUAUUGGUUUCAUAUUAGCAUAGCUUCCCAAUUCAUAUAUGGAGUUCAGCAUAUCAGGAAAUAAGUGACCUUUCCCAAAUAAUGCAGUUGAGGGGACUUCUGUAUGUUACUUUUCGAAUAGCGAGAUGGAGGAUUAUUGAUAUAUGCACCGGACCAUGGAAUGAUUCACGUCGUUCAUCAAUCAAUGCUAGGCUCUGUAUUAUCCUAGAUAUUAGUACUUGGAUGUGUUCUUUUCUCAUGGAUGUCUUACCCAUCCUAAUAGAGACCAAUAAAUAAACAAAUGUGUCAGAGCCACAAGAGGUUGAUGAAGAUGGUGAGAAGGGAAAGGGAUAGAGUGGGCGCUAUGCGGAAGCGACGACAGCCUACCACCUAAAUGCUUCAAGGCAUCGUGUUCUAUUCGAGUAGCAAGUACAUUGACUUUCACACGUCUAGCCCCUUACCUGCAGUCCUUCAAGACAAGAGAUCUAAGUGUCGUCUUGUAGAACUCUUGCUGAAGAUUGACGUGGUGACUAGCAGAUCAAGAAAAAAAAUUCAUUAUGUUGUUUAUACAUAUCUGAUUGUAGUUACAUGCGACAACAAGUUUUAUGUAUGUCAAAAUCUCUGUAGGCAUCCGUUAUUUCAGUUGGAUUUAUGUAUGACAACAUGUGUAGUUACGUGUCACUCAUAUUUAUUUAUACAACAAUUAAUUUCAGUGAAAAACAGUGUGGCCAAAUAAUUCAAUUAGACGGAUCAAAUAUUGUCUUUGUUACUUCAUUCAAAGGCACUCAAUUUUACCAAGUAAUGUCCAAUUAAUACCUAACGGACAAUACCAGUCCUUCCCAAGAACUGUGUGUAGCAUUCCUAUGUAAAAAUAACUAGCUCGUUUUGUGUUCUUUUCUGCCGUUUCUCACAUUUCAUUGAUCCCAGCUAACUUCUAUUCAGAUUUUUGUGUUCUUCGUUCCCAGCUAACUGCUACUAGCCUCACCUAGACUCAAGGUUUUUUAGUCGACAAGUCGUACUGGGGUAGCAACUCUUCAUUCGUCGUGAUUAUUGAAGACUCGUGGUUGAUGAGUUGACAUGCGAUGAGUCGACACGAGUUAAGAAAUAGGUCUAAUAAAAUUACAAACCUGGGCAUCACUAAAAUUACCAUAGUAUAUCUAUAUAGUUAAUAAUAGUCUGUAUAUACUUAUUAAUAGUCUAUAAUAAAACAAAUUUGGAUGUAGAUCUAUUUCUACAGGUCAUUCUGAUUCACUACUUGCUUUUCAACAUUUAAUCUGUCAUUUAAGAAAAUUAAAUCUAAAAAAGUUGAAUUAAAUUAUCAAUUGUCUUUGUUUUGACUAGGUUGAGAAUCGCACGAAUUAGUCUAGUUUUUAUGUGUUAUUUAGUUUCAUGUUUUAGUCCUGCUUGACUUUCAACCGUUGUAUACUAGAUUGUUCAAUUACCAAUGGUUUAUAUUUGUUAUUAUUUUAAAUUAUCAUUAUAAUUCAGUCAUUAGUAUUGAAUUUUGUUAGCUCUUUUCAGCACCCUUAAUUUGGUCUGUGCACGUAGUUGUUAGCUCCGGCAGCGCCAAAUACUCCUAGAAGUUUCAAGACCACCAAGUACUCCUGCGGAGUCAUUAAUGCUCUUGGACACCGUUAUUUCACCAAGAACAUGAUCAUUGGGACAUGCCAAGCUGAUUGUAAAUUAUUGUAUUUUUUGUGAUACGAUGUAAUUGUAAAUUAUUUUAUUUUUGUGCAUAAAUAAUUGAUUGAUCGGCCUAUCUUAGAAACA